rnacentral:rRNA from 1 species
GACGAACGCUGGCGGCGUGCUUAACCCAUGCAAGUCGAACGAAGUGGCGAACGGGUGAGUAAUACGUGAGUAACUGCCCUCCUUUUUGGGAUAAGCCUUUGAAACGGGGUCUAAUACCCAAUAAAGGGGGAUGACUCGCGUCCUAUCAGCUGGUUGGUGGGGUAGUGGCCUACCAGGGCGACGACGGGUAGCCGGCCUGAGAGGGCGACACGCCCCAUGUGGCUGGGAUACGGGCCGAACUGAUACGGGAGGCAGGAGUGGGGAAUAUUGCACACUAGGGGAAAUCCUGAUGCAGCACCGCCGGGUGGGGGAGGACGGCCUUCGGGUUGGAAACCGCUUUCAGCCAUGACGCGGUAGUGGCAGAAGAAGCAACGGCUAACUACGUGCCAGCAGCCGCGGUAAUUC